rnacentral:lncRNA from 1 species
GUCAAGUGCCAUGGCAUGGCAACGUUAUUAUUAUGAUAAUAUUUUUUAAAUAAAAAUUCGUACACUCUUGUGAGAGAGUACGAGAACCGCUUAAGAGAACGGGAUAAGGAGGACUACUGUACCAUAGUUCUGUCUGCUCCAACCCUUCCUGCUCAGGGGUAGUCGGUGGAUAAGUUGACCAACACAUCCCACGGUGUGAGAAAGCCUUAAUUAGGAAUACAGU